UGAGGAAUAUUGGGCAAUGCCCGCAAGGGUGACCCAGCAACGCCGCGUGGAGGAUGAAUGUCGUAAGAUUGUAAACUCCUGUUAGAGGGGAAGAAUAGUACCGGUUGGACCGGUAUAUGACUGUACCCUCAGAGAAAGCCCCGGCUAACUACGUGCCAGCAGCCGCGGUAAUACGUAGGGGGCAAGCGUUGUCCGGAUUUACUGGGUGUAAAGGGCGCGCAGGCGGGAUAAAAAGUCAGUGGUGAAAUCCUACAGCUUAACUGUAGAACUGCCUUCGAUACUUUUAUGCUUGAGUUCGGGAGAGAGAGACGGAAUUCCAGGUGUAGUGGUGAAAUACGUAGAUAUCUGGAAGAACACCAGUUGCGAAGGCGGUCUCUUGGUCCGACACUGACGCUGAGGCGCGAAAGCGUGGGGAGCAAACA
rnacentral:rRNA from 1 species